UACUAGUGCAUCAUACAUAAUCGGAAAC
rnacentral:sRNA from 1 species